UUGGCCCUGAAUCAAGGCCAGCUAUUUGCUGAAACUGUUAGUUUCAAGCAGGGGCCUAAAGAAACGUCUUUCUGUGGUCUGUUGGCCAUUUCAGAACUUUGAAAAUGUAGUAGUCAGUUCAGUGGAAAGAAAGAUGU
rnacentral:snoRNA from 1 species